UAUAUAUAUAUAUAUAUAUAUAUAUAUAUAUAUAUAACGUUAUGGAACUAUGACUAUGUUUACUGUAGAUUUGCAUGCAUGCUAUUUUGUAAUAUAUAUGUAUUGAAGUUGAACUAAUUUAUAAUGCAGGACCCCACUGAAAAACACUUCGGUAUCCUGGAUAAAUAUAAAUAUAAUAAUAAUAAUAAUAAUAGCCUCACGUUCCUUCCCGAGGAUCGCAGGCUCGAAGAACAAGAUUGAUCGCAAACCCAAUUGCUUACGGGCGCGUGCAUUCUCGUUCCCAGUUCCCGCGAAAUUAAUAUUACUCGUUCCGAAUUCUCGUUGAUUAAUUUUUACAAAUACCGUAUUUAUAUAUUUACGAUAAAAUUACUAAAAAUCUAGAAAAGAAAUUGCAAUGCAUACCCUACAAAAUGAAACAUCAAAUCUCACCUUCUCUGAGAGCUUCAAGCAUGUUACUUAGCAAUAUACCAAUGCUUUAAAUUUGCGAAGUUUAAAUGAUGGGAAAAAUUGUCUAAUUUCUUCUUCGUCCUACAAAGCACUACGUCUUCGCCAUCUAACUUUUCUUCUUCCACAUAUACAAAUAAUUAAAAAGAAAUAAUUAUUACGAAACUGUUAAAAACAAGAGAUAUUCCUCUUUUACUUUUAUACCAAAAUAAAGUAACGUGCAACUCACCAAAAUGUUCUACAACAUCACUGGGGAACUCACGAUACACCAACCAAUCCGCGUCAGUUCAGAACACGAAAAUAUUAUCUGGAGGAUAUCUAUUGACGUAUAGCUGGCUAAACCCCACUUGCAUCUCACUCCCCAAAAUUUAGAAUGGCCAACUUUUUACUCAACCAACAACAUGUCACUUGAAGAGAAUAUUUUUAUCGACCAAUGGAAAGCGUCUAACCAUGGGGGUUCUAUUAACCGUGAUCUAACGAAGAUUUGGAGACAAUACCAGUUCUCCUUAAUAAAGUACUCCUUAUAGAAUAUAGAUAUUUGCAAUACAUUUUGAAACAAGCAUUUUAUUUGAAGUUGAAAGAAUAACUUUACUGUAUAUCUGCAUGUUUGGUAUAAUUAGAUUUAUGUUACCAAGUGUAAUCAUGUAAAAAAUAAAA